UACGAAGGGGGCUAGCGUUGCUCGGAAUCACUGGGCGUAAAGCGCACGUAGGCGGCUUCUUAAGUCAGGGGUGAAAUCCUGGAGCUCAACUCCAGAACUGCCUUUGAUACUGAGGAGCUUGAGUCCGGGAGAGGUGAGUGGAACUGCGAGUGUAGAGGUGGAAUUCGUAGAUAUUCGCAAGAACACCAGUGGCGAAGGCGGCUCACUGGCCCGAUACUGACGCUGAGGCACGAAAGCGUGGGGAGCAAACAGG
rnacentral:rRNA from 1 species